AACGUAGGAGACAAACGUUAUCCGGAGUUACUGGGCGUAAAGAGCGCGCAGGCGGUCGAUCAAGUCGAGUGUGAAAGCCCCCGGCUCAACUGGGGAGGGUCAUUCGAUACUGAUCGACUCGAAGGCAGGAGAGGGUAGUGGAAUUCCCGGUGUAGUGGUGAAAUGCGUAGAUAUCGGGAGGAACACCAGUGGCGAAGGCGACUACCUGGCCUGUUCUUGACGCUGAGGCGCGAAAGCUAGGGGAGCAAACGGG
rnacentral:rRNA from 1 species